GCCCCCUUAGCUCAGUCGGCAGAGCGACGCCAUGGUAAGGCGUAGGUCCGCGGUUCGAUUCCGCGAGGGGGCU
rnacentral:tRNA from 1 species